rnacentral:rRNA from 1 species
AUUGAACGCUGGCGGCAUGCCUUACACAUGCAAGUCGAACGGUAACAGGUCUUCGGAUGCUGCCGUGUGGCGCACGGGUGUGUAAUACAUCGGAACGUGCCCGAUCGUGGGGGAUAACGCGGCGAAAGCUUUGCUAAUACCGCAUACGAUCUACGGAUGAAAGCGGGGGAUCUUCGGACCUCGCGCGGUCGGAGCGGCCGAUGGCAGAUUAGGUAGUUGGUGGGAUAAAAGCUUACCAAGCCGACGAUCUGUAGCUGGUCUGAGAGGAUGAUCAGCCACACUGGGACUGAGACACGGCCCAGACUCCUACGGGAGGCAGCAGUGGGGAAUUUUGGACAAUGGGCGAAAGCCUGAUCCAGCCAUGCCGCGUGCAGGAUGAAGGCCUUCGGGUUGUAAACUGCUUUUGUACGGAACGAAAAGCCUCAUGCUAAUAAAGAGGGGUCAUGACGGUACCGUAAGAAUAAGCACCGGCUAACUACGUG